rnacentral:rRNA from 1 species
GAACGAACGCUGGCGGCGCGUCUUAAGCAUGCAAGUCGAACGGCAAGAGAGGAGCUUGCUUCUCUCCUAGAGUGGCGGACUGGUGAGGAACACGUGGGUAAUCUACCCUUAAGAUGGGGAUAGCUGCUAGAAAUAGCAGGUAAUACCGAAUACACUCGGCAUAUCACAAGAGGUGUUGAGGAAAGGAAGCUACGGCUUCGCUUGAGGAUGAGCUUGCGUCCCAUUAGCUAGUUGGUGAGGUAAAGGCCCACCAAGGCGACGAUGGGUAUCCGGCCUGAGAGGGUGAACGGACACAUUGGGACUGAGAUACGGCCCAAACUCCUACGGGAGGCAGCAGCUAAGAAUAUUCCGCAAUGGACGGAAGUCUGACGGAGCGACGCCGCGUGGAUGAAGAAGGCUGAAAAGUUGUAAAAUCCUUUUGUUGAUGAAGAAUAAGGGUGAGAGGGAAUGCUCAUCUGAUGACGGUAAUCGACGAAUAAGCCCCGGCUAAUUACGUG